AUCAACUUUCGAUGGUAGGAUAGAGGCCUACCAUGGUGGUAACGGGUAACGGGGUGUUAGGGCACGACACCGGAGAGGGAGCCUGAGAAACGGCUACCACAUCCAAGGAUGGCAGCAGGCGCGCAAAUUACCCAAUCCCGACACGGGGAGGUAGUGACAAUAAAUAACAAUACGGGGUUCUUUCGGAUCUCGUAAUUGGAAUGAGUACAAUUUAAAUCUCUUAACGAGGAACAAUUGGAGGGCAAGUCUGGUGCCAGCAGCCGCGGUAAUUCCAGCUCCAAUAGCGUAUAUUAAAGUUGUUGCAGUUAAAAAGCUCGUAGUUGAAUUUCGGGAUCAGAUUGUCGGUCGUGCCUCGGUACGCACUGGCAUUAUUGGUUCCUACCUUCUGAAGAACCGCGAUGUCAUUAAUUUGGCGUCGUGGGGAAUCAGGACUGUUACUUUGAAAAAAUUAGAGUGUUUAAAGCAGGCGCACGCUUGAAUACAUUAGCAUGGAAUAAUGAAAUAGGACGUUUGAUUCUAUUUUGUUGGUUUCUAGGAUCGACGUAAUGAUUAAUAGGGAUAGUUGGGGGCAUUAGUAUUCAAUUGUCAGAGGUGAAAUUCUUGGAUUUAUUGAAGACUAACUACUGCGAAAGCAUUUGCCAAGGAUGUUUUCAUUAAUCAAGAACGAAAGUUAGGGGAUCGAAGACGAUCAGAUACCGUCGUAGUCUUAACCAUAAACUAUGCCGACUAGGGAUCGGAUGAUGUUAAUUUUUUAAUGACUCAUUCGGCGCCUUACGGGAAACCAAAGUGUUUGGGUUC
rnacentral:rRNA from 1 species